rnacentral:rRNA from 1 species
AGCAGCCGCGGUAAUUCCAGCUCCAAUAGCGUAUAUUAAAGUUGUUGCAGUUAAAAAGCUCGUAGUUGAAUUUCGGGAUCAAGGAAUCGGUCAUGCCUUGGUAUGUACUGGUUUUAUUGGUUCUCACCUUCUAAAGAACUAUAAUGUCAUUUAUUUGAUGUUAUGGGGAAUUAGGACUGUUACCUUGAAAAAAUUAGAGUGUUUAAAGCAAGCUUACGCUUGAAUACAUUAGCAUGGAAUAAUGAAAUAGGACAUCAGAUUCUAUUUUGUUGGUUUCUAGGAUCGAUGUAAUGAUUAAUAGGGAUAGUUGGGGGCAUUAGUAUUCAAUUGUCAGAGGUGAAAUUCUUGGAUUUAUUGAAGACUAACUACUGCGAAAGCAUUUGCCAAGGAUGUUUUCAUUAAUCAAGAACGAAAGUUAGGGGAUCGAAGACGAUCAGAUACCGUCGUAGUCUUAACCAUAAACUAUGCCGACUAGGGAUCGGAUGAUGUUAAUUUUUUAAUGACUCA